AAUAGAUACCCUGGUAGUCCACGCCGUAAACGAUGAGUGCUAAGUGUUGGAGGGUUUCCACCCUUCAGUGCUGCAGCUAACGCAUUAAGCACUCCGCCUGGGGAGUACGGUCGCAAGACUGAAACUCAAAGGAAUUGACGGGGGCCCGCACAAGCGGUGGAGCAUGUGGUUUAAUUCGAAGCAACGCGAAGAACCUUACCAGGUCUUGACAUCUCCUGACCGCCCUGGAGACAGGGUCUUCCCUUCGGGGACAGGAUGACAGGUGGUGCAUGGUUGUCGUCAGCUCGUGUCGUGAGAUGUUGGGUUAAGUCCCGCAACGAGCGCAACCCUUGGUUCUAGUUGCCAGCAUUCAGUUGGGCACUCUAGAGCGACUGCCGGCGACAAGUCGGAGGAAGGUGGGGAUGACGUCAAAUCAUCAUGCCCCUUAUGACCUGGGCUACACACGUGCUACAAUGGAUGGUACAAAGGGCAGCGAAGCGGCGACGCAUGAGCGAAUCCCAGAAAACCAUUCUCAGUUCGGU
rnacentral:rRNA from 1 species